UGGCUCAGGACGAACGCUGGCGGCGUGCCUAAUACAUGCAAGUCGAACGGUCUUUCUAUGGAAGCUUGCUUCCACUGAGAAGAUAGUGGCGAACGGGUGAGUAACACGUGGGUAACCUGCCCAUAAGAGGGGGGAUAACAUCCGGAAACGGGUGCUAAUACCGCAUAGUUUUCUUGAUCGCAUGAUUGAGAAAGGAAAGACGGCCUUUGUGCUGUCGCUUAUGGAUGGACCCGCGGCGUAUUAGUUAGUUGGUGAGGUAACGGCUCACCAAGACGAUGAUACGUAGCCGACCUGAGAGGGUGAUCGGCCACAUUGGGACUGAGACACGGCCCAAACUCCUACGGGAGGCAGCAGUAGGGAAUCUUCCGCAAUGGACGAAAGUCUGACGGAGCAACGCCGCGUGAGUGAAAGAAGGUUUUCGGAUCGUAAAACUCUGUUGUCAGAGAAGAACAAGUUGGAGAGUAACUGCUCCAGCCUUGACGGUAUCUGACCAGAAAGCCACGGCUAACUACGUGCCAGCCGCCGC
rnacentral:rRNA from 1 species